rnacentral:rRNA from 1 species
GACGAACGCUGGCGGCGUGCUUAACACAUGCAAGUCGAGCGAUGAAGUUCCUUCGGGAGUGGAUUAGCGGCGGACGGGUGAGUAACACGUGGGUAACCUGCCUCGUAGAGGGGAAUAGCCUUCCGAAAGGAAGAUUAAUACCGCAUAAGAUUGUAGCUUCGCAUGAAGCAGCAAUUAAAGGAGCAAUCCGCUAUGAGAUGGACCCGCGUCGCAUUAGCUAGUUGGUGAGGUAACGGCUCACCAAGGCGACGAUGCGUAGCCGACCCGAGAGGGUGAUCGGCCACAUUGGGAUUGAGAAACGGCCCAGACUCCGACGGGAGGCAGCAGUGGGGAAUAUUGCACAAUGGGGGAAACCCUGAUGCAGCAACGCCGCGUGAGUGAUGACGGUCUUCGGAUUGUAAAACUCUGUCUUUAGGGACGAUAAUGACGGUACCUGAGGAGGAAGCCACGGCUAACUACGUGCCAGCCGCCGCCGUAA